rnacentral:misc_RNA from 1 species
GCCGCUGCGCUUUCCUUUCAACGCUACGCACGUGUGCACGGUCGCACGCCUUCGCUCUCGCUCUCUCACGCUUUCCGUUCCUCCCGGCCCUCUGCGAGCAUCCCCACCGCCCCAGACCCCAAAAACUGUUCCUCAACUCACCCGGCCAUCUAUCUCUCGCGCACACGGGCCACAGCCAUGUCGCAAGUCAAGCAUGUGCAGCGAGGCGCAGAGGCGGGGCGGCCUGCUCUGUGAGGACACUACCACCCUCGUAGUCAGAAGCACGAGAGCAACACCGACUGCAUGGGUAGCAAUCUUCGCGCUCGACGCAGCCGCGCCAGCUACGACUACCUUGUCGGAGCCAGCGACGGCCGGAGUCCGGGCAACGCCUGCAACAACUUCGUCUACCACUCCAACCGGAAGCCGACGGGGGGCAGGAGCUUGGAAUACCUUGACGGGGACCAGAACCGCACCGCCGCGCUGCGCGAACCCGGGCCCGGUCGGCCUGCUCGGCUUUGGCCUCUCGACGAUCCUGCUGAACCUGCACAACACCGGGAGCUUUCCGCUGUCGACGGUGAUCGUCGCCAUGGGCAUCUGCCUCGGCGGAGGUGCGCAACCCCUCCACUGCUGUAUGUCUCCUUCCCUCCUCUCUUCCCCUUUAUCGUUGUUCUCUGUAGACACACAUAUGCAUACGCAUGCAUGCAUGAUAUAUAUAUAUAUAUAUAUAUAUAUGUAUGUGUCUCUGUGUGUGUGUGUGUGUCUUUCUUUCCCGCUAAACGACGCCGUCGUGUUUCGGCCAUGCUGUUGCGCUUCCUUCCCUCGUUUUCUUUUCGCCGUUCACCGUCAUCGUCCAGCUCGUGCGCAUGCUAUCCCCCCCCCUCCCUCCCACAUGCAAAACCAGGAACAAUGCAACGCGCGGAGGUGGUCCGCUGGUGUGGUGCGCAGAAAGGCCAUCGUAUGCGCCACAUGGAUAGUGGGCGUGUGUGUCUGUGGAAGUAGAGGCGGUAAGUGACUUUUGCCCACCGACUGACGUCGCUCGCUCUCCCCUGCCGCCGCCGUUCUCCACCCCACACACACACACACACACGCGCGGAGAUGCCAGACAAACACGGCUACACGCCCAAGUGCAGGCAUUUGUGUGUGCGCGGGCAUGUAGGUACUUAUGUGUACUGUGGACCUCUUGCCUCCUCCUCCUCCCUCAUCUCUCUCCCCUCGCUUGUCUGUGUCUGGUGCCCCGCCCCCAUCCCACUCCCUCUACCGCCCCAAAACCCGUGUCUCCUGCUCACGACUGGACGACAUUGAACCUCUACUUCCUGAUGGGAAUACCGGCGUGCAUUUUCCUUGUUGGUCUCUUUCCUAUCGCCUGCCCAUCCACCUCCUCCUGCCCUCCCUCCGUCGGCAUCAUCGAGAUGCAG